AAUGAAAAAAGAAAAAAGAGAAAAUGAGGAUACUGAUACUGUAUUGGGUUGACAUCGUUCGGUUAUUUCUUUGUUGCGGGCGUGUCUUUUCUCCU
rnacentral:ribozyme from 1 species